rnacentral:tRNA from 3 species
GCCGGGGUGGCGGAACUGGUAGACGCACAGGACUUAAAAUCCUGCGGUGAGUGAUCACCGUACCGGUUCGAUUCCGGUCCUCGGCACCA